GACGAACGCUGGCGGCGUGCUUAACACAUGCAAGUCGAACGGAAAGGCCUGCUUUCCCUUGUGGAUUGCGGGUACUCGAGUGGCGAACGGGUGAGUAACACGUGAGUGAUCUGCCCCCAACUUGGGUAUAAGCCUGGGAAACUGGGUCUAAUUCCCGAUAGGACUGCAGGGUGGUGCCUGUGGUGGAAAACGAUUUUCUAGUGGUUGGGGAUGAGCUCGCGGCCUAUCAGCUUGUUGGUGGGGUAAUGGCCUACCAAGGCGGCGACGGGUAGCCGGCCUGGGAGGGUGGACCGGCACAUUGGGACUGAGAUACGGCCCAGACUCCUACGGGAGGCAGCAGUGGGGAAGAUUGGACAAUGGGCGGAAGCCUGAUGCAGCGACGCCGCGUGGGGGAUGACGGCCUUCGGGUUGUAAACUCCUUUCGACCGCGAGGAAGCCACCUGGUUGGAAGGGUGGUGACGGUAGUGGUAGAAGAAGCACCGGCUAACUACGUG
rnacentral:rRNA from 1 species